UACGUAGGCAGCAAGCGUUGUUCGGAAUUACUGGGCGUAAAGAGUGUGUAGGCGGUGCUCUAAGUUUGUCGUGAAAUCUCCCGGCUUAACUGGGAGGGUGCGGCGAAAACUGGAGUGCUAGAGGGUGGGAGAGGAAAGCGGAAUUCCUGGUGUAGCGGUGAAAUGCGUAGAGAUGCGGAGGAACACCGACGGCGAAGGCAGCCCCCUGGGCUAGCACUGACGCUCAGGCACGAAAGCGUGGGGAGCAAACAGG
rnacentral:rRNA from 1 species